rnacentral:rRNA from 1 species
GACGAACGCUGGCGGCGUGCUUAACACAUGCAAGUCGAACGGAAAGGCCCUGCUUUUGUGGGGUGCUCGAGUGGCGAACGGGUGAGUAACACGUGAGUAACCUGCCCUUGACUUUGGGAUAACUUCAGGAAACUGGGGCUAAUACCGGAUAGGAGCUCCUGCUGCAUGGUGGGGGUUGGAAAGUUUCGGCGGUUGGGGAUGGACUCGCGGCUUAUCAGCUUGUUGGUGGGAUAGUGGCUUACCAAGGCUUUGACGGGUAGCCGGCCUGAGAGGGUGACCGGCCACAUUGGGACUGAGAUACGGCCCAGACUCCUACGGGAGGCAGCAGUGGGGAAUAUUGCACAAUGGGCGGAAGCCUGAUGCAGCAACGCCGCGUGCGGGAUGACGGCCUUCGGGUUGUAAACCGCUUUCGCCUGUGACGAAGCGUGAGUGACGGUAAUGGGUAAAGAAGCACCGGCUAACUACGUGCCAGCAGCCGCGGUGAUACGUAGGGUGCGAGCGUUGUCCGGAUUUAUUGGGCGUAAAGGGCUCGUAGGUGGUUGAUCGCGUCGGAAGUGUAAUCUUGGGGCUUAACCCUGAGCGUGCUUUCGAUACGGGUUGACUUGAGGAAGGUAGGGGAGAAUGGAAUUCCUGGUGGAGCGGUGGAAUGCGCAGAUAUCAGGAGGAACACCAGUGGCGAAGGCGGUUCUCUGGGCCUUUCCUGACGCUGAGGAGCGAAAGCGUGGGGAGCGAACAGGCUUAGAUACCCUGUAGUCCACGCUGUAAACGGUGGGUACUAGGUGUGGGGUCCAUUCCACGGGUUCCGUGCCGUAGCUAACGCUUUAAGUACCCCGCCUGGGGAGUACGGCCGCAAGGCUAAAACUCAAAGGAAUUGACGGGGCCCCGCACAAGCGGCGGAGCAUGCGGAUUAAUUCGAUGCAACGCGUAGAACCUUACCUGGGUUUGACAUGGAUCGGGAGUGCUCAGAGAUGGGUGUGCCUCUUUUGGGGUCGGUUCACAGGUGGUGCAUGGCUGUCGUCAGCUCGUGUCGUGAGAUGUUGGGUUAAGUCCCGCAACGAGCGCAACCCUUGUUCACUGUUGCCAGCACGUUAUGGUGGGGACUCAGUGGAGACCGCCGGGGUCAACUCGGAGGAAGGUGGGGAUGACGUCAAGUCAUCAUGCCCCUUAUGUCCAGGGCUUCACGCAUGCUACAAUGGCUGGUACAGAGAGUGGCGAGCCUGUGAGGGUGAGCGAAUCUCGGAAAGCCGGUCUCAGUUCGGAUUGGGGUCUGCAACUCGACCUCAUGAAGUCGGAGUCGCUGGUAAUCGCAGAUCAGCAACGCUGCGGUGAAUACGUUCCCGGG